AGUGAACGCUGGCGGUAGGCCUAACACAUGCAAGUCGAACGGCAGCACAGUAAGAGCUCGCUCUUACGGGUGGCGAGUGGCGGACGGGUGAGGAAUACAUCGGAAUCUACUUUUUCGUGGGGGAUAACGUAGGGAAACUUACGCUAAUACCGCAUACGACCUACGGGUGAAAGCAGGGGAUCUUCGGACCUUGCGCGAUUGAAUGAGCCGAUGUCGGAUUAGCUAGUUGGCGGGGUAAAGGCCCACCAAGGCGACGAUCCGUAGCUGGUCUGAGAGGAUGAUCAGCCACACUGGAACUGAGACACGGUCCAGACUCCUCCGGGAGGCAGCAGUGGGGAAUAUUGGACAAUGGGCGCAAGCCUGAUCCAGCCAUACCGCGUGGGUGAAGAAGGCCUUCGGUUUGUAAAGCCCUUUUGUUGGGAAAGAAAAGCAGCAGGUUAAUACCCCGCUGUUCUGACGGUACCCAAAGAAUAAGCACCGGCUAACUUC
rnacentral:rRNA from 1 species